UGGGGAAUAUUGGACAAUGGGCGCAAGCCUGAUGCAGCGACGCCGCGUGAGGGAUGACGGCCUUCGGGUUGUAAACCUCUUUCAGUAGGGACGAAGCGCAAGUGACGGUACCUAUAGAAGAAGGACCGGCCAACUACGUG
rnacentral:rRNA from 1 species